AUUAUUUGUUAUAAGAACAACACGUGGCUAUGUAUGUAUACAUACAAUGCAAGUCAUUAUUAUCCGUAAAGUCUGUGGUUUAAUUCCAUCCUUAUUAUACAAUGUAUUCCUUGAUUAAGAAACGAAUUUCCUGUUUUAAAGAGAAAAGUUAAGAUUCUCCAUAAGGUAAACUCUGUUCUAAAUAGAUUCAGAAUUAGUUUUUCUCAUAAUGAGAUCUGCAGUGGAAGAACAACUUAACCUAAUAACAUCAGGUUCUAUUACUACAGAAUCAAGUAACGCUCGCGUAAACGUAGUAUAGGUUAGAUUACCGGUUUCUUACAAAAUAUGUGAUUUCUGCCCAGUGCUCUGAAUGUUAUGUGAUUUUUGCCCAGUGCUAUGAAUGUCAUCUAGUCAUACAUAUCAAGAAUUUUCGAUGGGCUUCUUCAGAAGAUAGGAUACGAAGAAAAUCCUAUAACGGCAGGGAGCUGAUGUCGAGGAGAUUUUCCUGUUUACGCGAAGAAAUUAUCACGUGAUAGAACACAAUAAAGCUCACUUUCAAAAGUCCGUCACCUUUGGAUCUUUGCUGUGGAACUCAUUGCCGUCUAUGCAUUGGAUAUCUACUAUUGGAAAGAGACACUCGCAUUCUGCCUGUAUAUAUACGAUAACUCCAUGUACGUCUGGUGGCUGCACAGCUACAUGGACGACGUUCAAUGAUUUAUGGCAGCUAGAUUUGGGCACGAGGACAUGGGCAGAUCACCAUGGGCAACUAUCCAUCGCCUAAAAAGCUUGUGCUACUAUGCUUUAUUAUAAGAAAAGUUUGAUUUUGUUCGGAGGCUGGUCUCAUCCGUUGUAUUAGCAUAAAUGGAUGGCACUGAGCGUUCUCCAGGUCACAUUCGCAAAAUGCACACGCUUCAUCACAAGCGUC